CCGCCAUGGCGCGGGAUUAGUUUGAUCCUGGCUCAGAGUGAACGCUGGCGGCAGGCCUAAUACAUGCAAGUCGAACGGCAGCACAGUGGAGCUUGCUCCAUGGGUGGCGAGUGGCGGACGGGUGAGGAAUACAUGGGAAUCUGCCCAGUCGUGGGGGAUAACGUAGGGAAACUUACGCUAAUACCGCAUGCGCCCUUCGGGGGAAAGCCGGGGACCUUCGGGCCUGGCGCGAUUGGAUGAGCCCAUGUCGGAUUAGCUAGUUGGCGGGGUAACGGCCCACCAAGGCGACGAUCCGUAGCUGGUCUGAGAGGAUGAUCAGCCACACUGGAACUGAGGCACGGUCCAGACUCCUACGGGAGGCAGCAGUAGGGAAUAUUGGACAAUGGGCGCAAGCCUGAUCCAGCCAUGCCGCGUGAGUGAAGAAGGCCUUCGGGUUGUAAAGCUCUUUUGUCCGGAAAGAAAAGCAUCCAGUUAAUACCUGGGUGUCCUGACGGUACCGUAAGAAUAAGCACCGGCUAACUACGUGCCAGCAGCCGCGGUAAUACGUAGGGUGCGAGCGUUAAUCGGAAUUACUGGGCGUAAAGCGUGCGCAGGCGGUUAUGUAAGACAGAUGUGAAAUCCCCGGGCUCAACCUGGGACCUGCAUUUGUGACUGCAUAGCUAGAGUACGGUAGAGGGGGAUGGAAUUCCGCGUGUAGCAGUGAAAUGCGUAGAUAUGCGGAGGAACACCGAUGGCGAAGGCAAUCCCCUGGACCUGUACUGACGCUCAUGCACGAAAGCGUGGGGAGCAAACAGGAUUAGAUACCCUGGUAGUCC
rnacentral:rRNA from 1 species